rnacentral:rRNA from 2 species
CCCGCACAGCGGUGGAGCAUGUGGUUUAAUUCGAAGCAACGCGAAGAACCUUACCAGGUCUUGACAUCCUCUGACAAUCCUAGAUAUAGGACGUCCCCUUCGGGGGCAGAGUGACAGGUGGUGCAUAAGUCAGCUCGUGUCGUGAGAUGUUGGGUUAAGUCCCGCAACGAGCGCAACCCUUGAUCUUAGUUGCCAGCAUUCAGUUGGGCACUCUAAGGUGACUGCCGGUGACAAACCGGAGGAAGGUGGGGAUGACGUCAAAUCAUCAUGCCCCUUAUGACCUGGGCUACACACGUGCUACAAUGGACAGAACAAAGGGCAGCGAAACCGCGAGGUUAAG